rnacentral:rRNA from 1 species
UACGUAGGGUGCGAGCGUUGUCCGGAAUUAUUGGGCGUAAAGAGCUUGUAGGCGGUUUGUCGCGUCUGCUGUGAAAAUCCGGGGCUCAACCCCGGACUUGCAGUGGGUACGGGCAGACUAGAGUGUGGUAGGGGAGACUGGAAUUCCUGGUGUAGCGGUGAAAUGCGUAGAGAUCCGGAGGAACACCAAAGGCGAAGGCAGUGUCCUGGGGAGUACCUGACGCUGAGGCACGAAAGCUAGGGGAGCAAACAGG